rnacentral:rRNA from 2 species
CAGGAGCUUGCUCCUGUGGAUCAGUGGCGAACGGGUGAGUAACACGUGAGCAAUCUGCCCCGAACUCUGGGAUAAGCGUUGGAAACGACGUCUAAUACCGGAUACGACGCGCGAAGGCAUCUUCAGCGCGUGGAAAGAACUUCGGUUCGGGAUGAGCUCGCGGCCUAUCAGCUAGUUGGUGAGGUAACGGCUCACCAAGGCGACGACGGGUAGCCGGCCUGAGAGGGUGACCGGCCACACUGGGACUGAGACACGGCCCAGACUCC